GGCCGACAUUAAUCAUUUCCACAAUGAACAAGAGGCCAGAAACGGGAUCCUGGGAUGACUUCCAAGUUGAGCCAGUUGAUUGGUGAUCACAUUGCUGAAGCACUAAAUGGUUGAAUACCACAGAAAGGUGGGCAUAAAGCUUUCAACGAAUGUUGCAAUUAUGCAGCAAAUCAAUGUGCAAAGAAAAAUUUUAAUUCUUUGAUUAAAUUACGUCCGUUUGCAUCUUGGCAUCUAGGCACCCAAUAGCAUAAUACAUUCCGCAUAUCUACCGAAAGAUGCAGGCCGCCCCUGCUAAUUUAUAUUACAAAUGCUUGCCAUCGGCUUCAGCAUUAUGUAGUCACCAUACUGCCGUACGUUUGCAGACAAAACUUCCCCUGUGUAUGUAAGCGGCCCUACAACCAAUGUUCACGGCAACCUCGUAGCAGCGCUCGAAGCAUAUAGAGCAAUUCGUAUAAGAGUGAAAAAGUUCUACAGAGGAUUAGUUGCCCGUUACCUCUACAAACACGAACCCAACCGCCACCAAAUUCUUGUGGAUAUUGGAAUUUAAAGAAGUAAUAGAAGUGUCCAAUAAAUGUGCCAAUUAACGACGCAAUCGACC